rnacentral:rRNA from 1 species
GAUGUUAGCGGCGGACGGGUGAGUAACACGUGGAUAACCUAUCUAUAAGACUGGGAUAACUUCGGGAAACCGUAGCUAAUACCGGAUAAUAUUUUGAACCGCAUGGUUCAAAAGUGAAAGACGGUCUUGCUGUCACUUAUAGAUGGAUCCGCGCUGCAUUAGCUAGUUGGUAAGGUAACGGCUUACCAAGGCAACGAUGCAUAGCCGACCUGAGAGGGUGAUCGGCCACACUGGAACUGAGACACGGUCCAAACUCCUACGGGAGGCAGCAGUGGGGAAUAUUGCACAAUGGGCGCAAGCCUGAUGCAGCAACGCCGCGUGAACGAUGAAGGUCUUCGGAUCGUAAAGUUCUGUUGCAGGGGAAGAUAAUGACGGUACCCUGUGAGGAAGCCCCGGCUAACUACGUGCCAGCAGCCGCGGUAAUACGUAGGGGGCUAGCGUUAUCCGGAUUUACUGGGCGUAAAGGGUGCGUAGGUGGUCUUUCAAGUCGGUGGUUAAAGGCUACGGCUCAACCGUAGUUAGCCUCCGAAACUGGAAGACUUGAGUGCAGGAGAGGAAAGUGGAAUUCCCAGUGUAGCGGUGAAAUGCGUAGAUAUUGGGAGGAACACCAGUAGCGAAGGCGGCUUUCUGGACUGCAACUGACACUGAGGCACGAAAGCGUGGGUAGCAAACAGGAUUAGAUACCCUGGUAGUCCACGCUGUAAACGAUGAGUACUAGGUGUCGGGGGUUACCCCCCUCGGUGCCGCAGCUAACGCAUUAAGUACUCCGCCUGGGGAGUACGCACGCAAGUGUG